CUACUACUACUACUAGUAGUAGUGCUUCUAAUCUGGUACUGUAAAAUGAAAGAUCAGAAGACAGGCAAGGAGGCGAGAAAUGCAAAGAGAGAAAAUUCUGAACCAGACAGAGAAGGCCAAGGCAAAGAGAUGACCACAGCAAUGCUGUGAAGGCGAAACCCCCAAGAAAGGUCCAGUUCUCUAAUGACAAAUUACAUUUUUUAGAUAAAGAUAAUAUUGUGAAACAGUCAUGUGACAUGUCACUUUCUUAUCAUGGAGACAAGAAUCUACCAAAAGUAAGGCACUGUUGCCUGAAUGCACCAGUGUUCAGUUUUUUUU